UUUCCGUAGGUGAACCUGCGGAAGGAUCAUUAUUGUAUAACCGAGGUGCGAGGGCUGUCGCUGACCCGAAAGGUCGUGCACGCCCGAGUGCCCUCACACGCAUCCGUCUCACCCCUAUGUGCACCACCGCGUGGGUCCCCCUUUGGCUUGUUCGGAGGGGGGCUUACGUUUUCACACAAACUUUGUAUGCAGUGUAGAAUGUAUUUUUUGUUUUUGCGAUCACGCAAUCAAUACAACUUUCAACAACGGAUCUCUUGGCUCUC
rnacentral:misc_RNA from 1 species